ensembl:misc_RNA 7SK 7SK RNA
GGGUGUGAGGGAGAUUUGACCUUGACAUCUGUCGCCCCAUUGAUGGCCAGGGUUGAUUGGGCUGAUCUGGCUGGCUAGGUCGUGUCCUCUUCAACCCUCACUGCUCCACGUCACUGCUGCAUGCUCCUGAAGAGGACGACCUUCCUUAUAGAGGAGGAUUGUUCUUCUGUCAAGGGAAUAGGAGUAGCUACGCGCUCCUGCUAGGACCUCUAAAGUUCUCAAGAAUGGCCAGCACCUUGCAGUGUGCGCUUCUCCAAGUCAGACCUUAUUUUCUCACCCAUCUACAGAGGAAAAAUAGGCUUUUGGAGCUCAAUGU